GCAGCAGCAUCAGCAGCAGCAGCAGCAGCAUCUUGUUGGUGUCCGCUUUUCAGCAGAUCCUCGCUUUCUCCAGCACACGCUCCACGUUCCGAUUUGCCAUCUUUGCCAUCUUCAUCUCGUCCUCUUCGCCUUAACUUUGUGGAUACAAAAGUGGCUCGUGGCAUGACCAGCAUCGAUUCGUGAGAAGCGCUUGACCUCACUGUGUCCGUGCGGUGUCACCACCAUCACCCUGUGAGCUACGUCUUGCCACACCAGACAAUCCAGACCCUGCGGCAGGCACAACAACUCACUUUUAGCACAUCACUUACAUUCAAUUCAGUAUGGAGGUAGAAAACAGAAACUUCUCUCACACACACACACACACACACACUGUACGUAUUUAAACAGUUUGGGAAGGUCAAAAACAUGGAGGAGAUGGUGGGGUGAUUUUCUAAAGCUAUUUCAAUCAAAUGAAGUGUGAUUAGAAUGAACGGACAAGAGACAAUAAAAGCCUAUCUGAAGAAAGAAGGGAAUCAAAGAUGGAUUAUGGAAAAGUGCAAAUUCAAACAGCCUUUUGUCAUCGGAAAUGAUUUGGUUUUCUGUAGCCCCCAGCCCCGCUGUAGCGACCGACACAAUCUUCACAAUACGGUCUAAUAUUUCCCAAAUCAAGCAUGAAACGGCUUUAAGAAGAACCUCAAUCCAACCUGAGCUCUGUCUCGCAGCACCUCAAAGUCAGCCUGGGAGAGAAACUGGUUGUAGAGCACACCUGAGAAGGAGUGACAAGGAGAUCAAAACCUUACAGCUGUAAAAAGGCCAUGUGAAGGGCAAGAGCUCAAAUGCCAAGCAAACAUAGCAUAUCAAUGCAGUAAGAACUGGAUGACAGCAGGAGCAUUAUUUACUAUUGCUGCUACAUUUUCACUCAACUCACAUUUGAAUGGACGUAUGAUGUGCAAAAAAGAAAAGAAAGUGAGAUCAC